UAUUCAGAAUACUUUAUAAUGUUUGAAACUACAACCCGCCUGUUUCUGCUAUCUCCAGCAGUAGCAUAUGUAUCCGAUGUGUUUGAAUCAAUGAGAUCCUAAUUCACCAAAAUAUU
rnacentral:sRNA from 1 species